CGCUGCCAGUUGCAACGGGUAGAGCCGGGCACUCUGGCGGGACGUGCCAUCGACAAGAUGGAGGAAGGUGGGGAGUGACGUCAAGUCAUCAUGGCCCUUAUGUCCAGGGCGACACACGUGCUACAAUGGCCGGCACAGCGGGAAGCGAGGCAGUGAUGCCAAGCGGAUCCCUUAAAGCCGGUCUCAGUUCGGAUUGAAGUCUGCAACUCGACUUCAUGAAGCUGGAAUCGCUAGUAAUCGCAGAUCAGCCAAGCUGCGGUGAAUACGUUCCCGGGCCUU
rnacentral:rRNA from 1 species